CCCCACAGCUCUGACCUUCAUCCUGUCAGCUCUAUGGCAUGGAGUUUACCCCGGAUACUACUUCACCUUUAUUACUGCUAUACCCAUCACACUGGCAGCUAGAGCUGUCCGUAAGAACGUCCGGCAGUAUUUCCUGUCCUCUCAUCCUGUGAAGCUUGUCUAUGACGUAGUGACCUGGGCAGCUACUCAGCUGUGUGUCUGCUACACCGUCAUGCCCUUCCUACUGCUGGCAGUAGAACCUACCAUGCAGUACUACAGGUCAAUGUACUUCCACAUUCACAUCAUCAGUAUUCUGACUGUGAUUGUACUGAGCCAGAGCCACAAACCAAGAGGCAGUAGCAGCAGCAGCAGCAACGGCACCAAGCCUGGACCGUAUGAUCCUCAUCCCCAGGCCCAGCCUCAGCUCCAGCCUCAGCUCCAGCCUCAGCUCCAGCCUCAGCUCCAGCCUCAGCUCCAGCCCUCCAACAACAACGUGAAAAGAAAGUGAAGUGUCCCUCUGUGUGUGGAGGCAGCCAGAGACCUGAAUGGGCCCACUGGGUCAGACAAAGACAUCUCUGUGUGUCCACAACAAAGAGAGAGCUCAGCGGGGCUCAGAGGGGCCGAGGGACUGUGCCUGCUGGCCGGUCGGCCUUGCCACCCUGUACAUCCAACACUUCUACUGCCAGGCUCCUAAAAGGCCUCUCUCUGCCCUGCUUGCCAAUUCUCUGUUCUGUCUUUCCAAGUGUGCACUUGUUCACUUCCCUUCAUGGAUCUGAAAGGAAAGGACUGGCAUACGAUCUCCCUCUAGUCCAGCCCAUAAACUCACCAAUACAACACUUCUCAUUCAAUGUGUGGGAAGCUGUGCACAACUGAGAAAGUAUACUUCAGGAGAAAGAUCUGAGAAUUGGGCUCAGACAGACAGGCAAACAGGCAAACAGGCAGACAGGCAGACAGACAGACAGACAGACAGACGGACGGGCGGACGGGCGGACGGGCGGACGGACGGGCGGACGGGCGGACGGGCAGGCGGACAGACGGACAGACGGACAGACGGACAGACAGGCAAACAGGCGGACAGACGGACAGACGGACGGGCGGACAGACAGACAGACAGGCGGACAGACGGACAGACAGAGAGAGACGGACAGACAGACGGACAGGUCCUAGAAUUAGAUGUGGCUGGCCCAUUUCUUUUACAUCUUACAUCACCAGUUGUAGAUAUCAUGUCAAACCCUUACGGGUUAGUGAGAUAUUAAUGGUGUCUGUUUAUUGUUGUAUGAAUGCAGGAAACAUUAUCCCUCAGGAUGGCAGGUAGCCUCGAGGUUAGAGUGUUGGGCCAGUAACAGAGAUGUAAAAUCUGUCACUGUGCCCUUGAGCAAGGCACUUUAAACCUAAUUGCUCCAGGGGCUCUGUACAAUGGUGACCCUGACCGUGACCCCACUCCCUGCAGGUGUCUCGGGGGAGUUGGGAUAUGGUGACCCUGACCGUGACCCCACACCCUGCAGGUGUCUCAGGGGGAGUUGGGAUAUGGUGACCCUGACCGUGACCCCACUCCCUGCAGCUGUCUCAAGGGGGAGUUGGGAUAUGGUGACCCUGACCGUGACCCCACUCCCUGCAGGUGUCUCGGGGGAGUUGGGAUAUGGUGACCCUGACCGUGACCCCACUCCCUGCAGGUGUCUCGGGGGAGUUGGGAUAUGGUGACCCUGACCGUGACCCCACUCCCUGCAGGUGUCUCAGGGAGAGUUGGGAUAUGGUGACCCUGACCGUGACCCCACUCCCUGCAGGUGUCUCAGGGGGAGUUGGGAUAUGGUGACCCUGACCGUGACCCCACUCCCUGCAGGUGUCUCGGGGGAGUUGGGAUAUGGUGACCCUGACCGUGACCCCACUCCCUGCAGGUGUCUCAGGGAGAGUUGGGAUAUGGUGACCGUGACCCCACUCCCUGCAGGUGUCUCGGGGGAGUUGGGAUAUGGUGACCCUGACCGUGACCCCACUCCCUGCAGGUGUCUCGGGGGAGUUGGGAUAUGGUGAUCCUGACCGUGACCCCACUCCCUGCAGGUGUCUCGGGGGAGUUGGGAUAUGGUGACCCUGACCGUGACCCCACUCCCUGCAGGUGUCUCGGGGAGUUGGGAUAUGCAAGAAAUACACUUGUGUGUGACAGGACAAAUAUAAGCCCCGCCCCACAAUCUUUUUGAAUUAUUUGUCCCAAAUGGCACUCUAUUCCCUUUAUAGUCCAGAUGGGUCCUGGUCCAGAUGGGUCCUGGUCCAGAUGGGUCCAGAUGGGUCCUGGUCCAGAUGGGUCCUGGUCCAGAUGGGUCCCGGUCCAGAUGGGUUCCGGUCCAGAUGGGUUCCGGUCCAGAUGGGUCCUGGUCCAGAUGGGUCCAGAUGGGUCCUGGUCCAGAUGGGUCCUGGUCCAGAUGGGUCCAGAUGGGUUCUGGUCCAGAUGGGUCCUGGUCCAGAUGGGUUCUGGUCCAGAUGGGUUCUGGUCCAGAUGGGUCCAGAUGGGUCCUGGUCCAGAUGGGUCCAGAUGGGUUCUGGUCCAGAUGGGUCCUGGUCCAGAUGGGUUCUGGUCCAGAUGGGUUCUGGUCCAAAGCAGUGUAGUGUAUAGAGAAUAGGUGCCAUUCAGAACAUAGUUAUGAGGCUCUAGUUCGGAGCUGUUUGGAUCGUUUUUAACACUGGAUGCUGUACAUCAGGUCUCCUAAUAUUCAUUUCAUGUGUCUCUAUGUAUAUAAGAGGAUGGACAAGUUUACUUUUAUUGGGCAAGAACUUGAGAUUUCAUUAAUUUGUCAGUUAAAAAAAAAAAUGUAAAUGUUGUAUUAACUUUAGAGUCUUACAGUCUCAGAUGAGGUGCAGGAAGCACCAAUGACUUCUGAAGGAAAGUGUUUGGGUUCUGUCCCGAAUGGCACCCUAUUGCCUGUGUAGUGCACUACCUUUUAAAACAGGGCCUUAUGGGGACGCAGACGUUGACUUUGUUUCAGGGGAUGAUGUGGAAGUCUUCUAUGCCUCAGAAGAAGGUCCAAGAUCUUCACACUACAAGAUCUUCAACAUUUCAAGUCCUGAAGCAGCUGAACCACUAAUGAUGCUAAUAUGAAGAGUGUCUGGACACUACACAUUACACACACUACACACACACUACACACACACACACACACAUACACA